GGCCCAUUGGUCAAGCGGUUAAGACACCACCCUCUCACGGUGAAAUCAGGAGUUCGAUUCUCCUAUGGGUCACCA
rnacentral:tRNA from 1 species